GACGUAGGUGGCAAACGUUAUCCGGAAUUAUUGGGCGUAAAGGGUGCGUAGGUGGCCUGGCAAGUUAUCAGUGGCAAAUCGAGGCUCAACCUCGUGGAAACUGGUAAUACUGUCCGGCUUGAGUGCAGGAGAGGUUAACGGAACUCUAUGUGGAGCGGUAAAAUGCACAGAUAUAUAGAAGAACAUCAAUAACGGCGAAGGCAGUUAACUAUUCUGUUUCUGACACUGAGGCACGAAAGCGUGGGGAGCAAAACGG
rnacentral:rRNA from 1 species